rnacentral:rRNA from 1 species
CAGCAGCCGCGGGAAUACGAAGGGUGCAAGCGUUACUCGGAAUUACUAGGCGUAAAGCGUGCGCAGGCGGUUGUGUAAGACAGGUGUGAAAUCCCCGGGCUUUACCUGGGAACUGCGCUUGUGACUGCACAGCUAGAGUAUGGCAGAGGGGGGUGGAAUUCCACGUGUAGCAGUGAAAUGCGUAGAGAUGUGGAGGAACACCGAUGGCGAAGGCAGCCCCCUGGGCCAAUACUGACGCUCAUGCACGAAAGCGUGGGGAGCAAACAGGAUUAGAUACCCGCGUAGUCCCUGUCUCUUAUAC